ensembl:snRNA U6 U6 spliceosomal RNA
ACACUCCCUUCCUCAGCAUAUGUACUAAGAUUAUAAUAAUACAGAGAAGGUUAGCAUGCCCUACCAAAGGAUGACAUGCAAAUUCAUGAAGCUGUCUACAUUUUU